rnacentral:rRNA from 1 species
ACCUGACUGCUAUCGGAUUGAUACUAAGCCAUGCGAGUCAUUGUAGCAAUACAAGGCAUACGGCUCAGUAACGCGUAGUCAACCUAACCUAUGGACGGGAAUAACCUCGGGAAACUGAGAAUAAUGCCCGAUAGAACAUUAUACCUGGAAUGGUUUAUGUUCCAAAUGAUUUAUCGCCAUAGGAUGGGACUGCGGCCUAUCAGUUUGUUGGUGAGGUAAUGGCCCACCAAGACUAUUACAGGUACGGGCUCUGAGAGGAGUAGCCCGGAGAUGGGUACUGAGACACGGACCCAGGCCCUAUGGGGCGCAGCAGGCGAGAAAACUUUGCAAUGUGCGAAAGCACGACAAGGUUAAUCCGAGUGAUUUCUGCUAAAGAGAUCUUUUGUUAGUCCUAGAAACACUAACGAAUAAGGGGUGGGCAAGUUCUGGUGUCAGCCGCCGCGGUAAAACCAGCACCUCAAGUGGUCAGGAUGAUUAUUGGGCCUAAAGCAUCCGUAGCCGGCUCUGUAAGUUUUCGGUUAAAUCUGUACGCUCAACGUACAGGCUGCCGGGAAUACUGCAGAACUAGGGAGUGGGAGAGGUAGACGGUACUCGGUAGGAAGUGGUAAAAUGCUUUGAUCUAUCGAUGACCACCUGUGGCGAAGGCGGUCUACCAGAACACGUCCGACGGUGAGGGAUGAAAGCUGGGGGAGCAAACCGGAUUAGAUACCCGGGUAGUCCCAGCUGUAAACUAUGCAAACUCAGUGAUGCAUUGGCCUGUGGCCAAUGCAGUGCUGCAGGGAAGCCGUUAAGUUUGCCGCCUGGGAAGUACGUACGCAAGUAUGAAACUUAAAGGAAUUGGCGGGGGAGCACCACAAGGGGUGAAGCCUGCGGUUC